GCGGAAGUGGCGAAACUGGCAGACGCACUAGACUUAGGAUCUAGCACCGCAAGGUAUGGAGGUUCAAGUCCUCUCUUCCGCACCA
rnacentral:tRNA from 2 species